ACACACAAAAGUAUGGAUGAGGGAUGAGACUUGAGAAAGCAGACUAAGGGGGAGGAAAUGGGUCAAAGAAGGUUUACCAAAUGUCUUUGUACUCGGUAAAUUCAAAUGUAACCCAGAUAUGAGGGAUAUGCUCUGUCCUGAAGAGUCUGCCUGCAGAACUGGGAAGGGAUCAAUGGAAACAAAGGAAUAUGUGCUGUCAUGGCAGCCAUCCCAUCACAAUGGAAGAGCACUGGUUCUCAACCUGUGGGUGGGAGUCACCACAACAUGAGGAACUGUGUUAAAGGUGGCACAUCGAGAUGGCUGAGAGACACUAGCUUGGAGUAAGGAAGCAUCCGUCUGGUUUGGCAAGCAUGCAAGACGAAGAUUGGGAAGGAAGCAGUGAAAUCCAGGGUGGGAGUGCUGGAUGUCAUAACCAAAGGCAGAGGCAGUUGCAUAGAAAUGCUUCCAGUGUAUAUAAAAAAGCCGAUACACACCCCUGAAUUAAUAGGAAUAUAUAUUCUAAUUAAUUGACAGCAAGAGCUCUUGAUGGAAUGAAAGAACGGAUCUCCAGCUCCCCGAGCAAGAACCCAGACACAGCUAAAUAAAUUGCCGAGCCUCUGUCUCUAUAAUAUAUGAAGCAGGCCUGCUGUAAUCAGCCUAUGUGUUCCUGCCCGCCAUCUAUUAUUGUGGAUUUGGGCUUCUUUUUUAUACCUACAGCUAGCAGGCACAUAGGAGAAAAUCCAGAGGUGGGAAUUAGAACAAUGAGAAAAAUAAAAAUGCAAUCAAUUCAGAUAAAAUGGCCAGCACACCCCAUACUUGAGGAGC
rnacentral:lncRNA from 1 species